CUUUCAACAACGGAUCUCUUGGUUCUGGCAUCGAUGAAGAACGCAGCGAAAUGCGAUAAGUAAUGUGAAUUGCAGAAUUUAGUGAACCAUCGAAUCUUUGAACGCACAUUGCGCCCCCUGGCAUUCCGGGGGGCAUGCCUAUUCGAGCGUU
rnacentral:rRNA from 1 species